rnacentral:rRNA from 1 species
GACAGAGGGGGCAAGCGUUGCUCGGAAUUACUGGGCGUAAAGGGCGCGUAGGCGGGAUGGCAAGUCGGUCGUGAAAUCCCUCGGCUCAACCGAGGAACGUCGAUCGAUACUGCUGUUCUUGAGGAUUGCAGAGGAGACUGGAAUUCCCGGUGUAGCGGUGAAAUGUGUAGAGAUCGGGAGGAACACCGGUGGCGAAGGCGGGUCUCUGGGCAAGUCCUGACGCUGAGGCGCGAAAGCGUGGGGAGCAAACGGG